GUAGUGUUGGAAACCAAGUAGAAUUGCCUCAGCUGCAUUUUAGAAAUAACCCCAAAAUACAAACUCAUCAAAUGAACAAACAAAUACAUCUUAGAAUACAAAAUAAAUGUGAUCUAAGUGGUUCCAUUCAAACCCACUGCCAAAAAUGGAAAGACAGCGAAAGAAAAAAUGGGAAUUCCACAUGAUCAAAUAGUGAGGUAUAAAUGAAUUCCAAUCUUCCAUACAAAUAAAAUAAAAUAUGAAGCAAUAAGAAAGCAACAACAUUAAAAGAUAAGAAAAAAAAAUGCGUUCUAAAAAAAUCGCAUUCUACUUGAGAAUAUGGGAUUCAAAUAAAAACACGUUUAGCGCAAACAGCGAAUAAAUUAAAUAAAGCAAACUGAGAACGACGUCAUGUCAGAGUUCACAGUUUAGUCUACAGCACAAAUUCGCGUUGAUUGUUGAAGAAACAGUGGAUUUAUAGACAACUAUAGCAAAAUGGCUCAUGAAUCAUGAUUAUCAAGACCAAAACACUUUUGAUUAUACUAUGCUUAAUGAUUAAUCAGACUAAUAGUAUAUUUUGGCCCAAUCAGAAAAAUAACUCAAGGAUAAGGACCUA
rnacentral:misc_RNA from 1 species